rnacentral:lncRNA from 1 species
CCCAAAACUCGUUCCAGGCCUGCAACCAGAUUAGCAUAUUAAUGAGGCUGUAAUUUCCCCGGAAUUGUCUGCACAUCUAUGCCCGCUCACAGCACACUGGCCCAGGAGUUUGCUAUGCAAAUAAACUGGUUUUACAGGCUGUGGCUUAAUUAACUCAUCAAGUUCAUCUUCCUAACAAAAAAGGCAGACUAACUGCGGAUUAAUGGACCUGUGUUUGCUCUGCUUUCUCUCUCCCUGGUCCUGCUCACUCCCCACAGCACCCGCUCCCUCCAAGCCUCCCGCUCCUGGCCGACGCCUGUCCUCGGAGGAGAUAAAUCCUGGCAAAAGAGAUGGGGGGACAUUAAUACUGCUUCCAGCAGAGUCUGGGAGGUUUUCUCAUCGACUUCAAGGGGAAUAAGAUGGAUCAGGCCUAAAGGAUGGUAAUUACGCCUCCAGUUGAAGCUGGCAGGUGACCACUUAUGAGAAGGAGGUGGCACAUUAUGACGCUGUCUCUGUAACGUGGUUGUCCCCGUACAGCUCAGAGCUGGGUCUGGGGACAGAGAUUAAGGCUCAGUGCCCAGGGGAGUGCUGGCAAGCCUGCUCCGUCCCUAACAGCACAGGGUCAGUGCAGAUGAGGGGUGCUGCUGUCCCUCCUGGUUAAUUAGAAAGAUCCUUCUGGGUAGCUAACCAUGCUCAGUGACCCUCUGCCUCCUGAUAAUAAUUAACAAAUAAGUAAACAAACAAACAAACAAACAAACAAAUAAAUAAAUGUAAGGAUUCACAGAGUUGCUAGAAGGAAGUUCAUACAGCCCAAAGGCUGCAUUCAGCAGCAAAGCACUGGACUGGAGGGAUCUUUGAACAUUAACAUCAUUGUGCAUUUAUUUCCUCCCCUUUUCCCUGUUUUUUCCAUUCUCUCCCUUCACUGUGGGAAGCAGAUCUCUGCAGGAUCCAGGUAGCCCUUAGCACAGAGCCAAGGGUGGCAUCCUGUCACCCUGUUCCCCCACCUGCACAGCAUGUUCUCAGCACUCAGCUCUAUGACAUGUCUGCACCUCUCCUGGUGCCAAGUUCUGGAGCCUUCACUUGGCCAAAAAGCAGACCUCUGUCAGUCACAGCUGGCUUGGAAUGGACUGAAGUUGAAGCUUUUUUUCACCAAAGUUGUUUUAAACUGGACAAAGUCCUUGAAAAUCUAACUGUACUCAGAAGCUUUUCUGCAUUCACAGGGAAAUGGACUGGCUGACCUAAAAGGUCUUUUCCAUCUCUAAUUUCUGUGGCUGUGUGAUUCAUCCCUCUUCUUUGAAAGUGUUUCCUACAUGAAAUGUCUAGUAGAAGGAAAAAAUGAUACUAAAUAAUCUUUUUUCAUUUCCUCUCAUCAUUGUCAGAGAUUAUGAGAGGUGAGGGAUAUGUCUGUUGUGACAUUAGCCAAGCAGUGGAACAGAAAAGGCAAACCAGGAUCCAGCUUAGCAGCCAAGAAAGAGACAAUUCACUCGGGGUAGAAUAGGAGGAAAUGUGCUGUGGGCAUCCUUUUCAGCAGUGCCAAUGGUCCUUCCUUCCUCAGACCCUGAGAAACCCCACAUGGGAGAAAUGCAAACCUCUUACAGAGGAGAGCAGUGCCUGGCUGAGCAGCAGAGCGGGGCGAGGGCUGGAGCAGCUCCCUGGGAUGUUCUCCCAGGCACUGCAAGGCACCCAAGUCAGCUGUGCUCUCAGUGCUUCUACCGUGUCACCAGGAGUUUCCCUACUGCUAGCUGGUCCAGCUUCCUCUUAAUCCACUAAGCUCCUCCAGCCAGGAGUUGCACGGAUAACUCCCUGCAAGGAGAAACAGCUGCUUUGGCUUGUUUUAAAUCUUACUGGUACCACCUUCACUCAAGGAUGCGAGUGCAUUUUUAGGUCUGUGUUGGUCUCCUGGGAGCUGUUUCACGUGGGGAAUAGAGCUGAGGGGUGAACAUCCCAGUCCCUGUGCUGGGGGAGCUGCCCUACCCCUGGGGGCCCCACAUCAUCCAGUCCCAGGAUCAUUGAAUCUUUGUGUCGAGGUUAUCCUAUGGAUAAUGGGGUGGCACUGCCUCUCCUCCUGCACGGCAGUGCUGCUGUCCCCAGAACUGAGUGGAGACCAAAGGGACAAACCCCUGUGCAGGUAACCCUGGAGCUGAUCUCAGGCCAUUUACCACCAAUCUGGAGAUGUGAAUAACAGUCUUUAGAAGUCACACCAGCAGUGUCUGAAGAUUUUUUGUGUGUGUGAUAGAACUUUUAAUUCUUUUUAUUUCAUUGAUCUACUGGAUUUUCUUUUCCUCUUAAUUUUUUUCUUUCUCUUUGAAUUUUUUGUUUCAUUUCCUGAAAGCAGGAGAAAUAAUGUAAGCCAAAGCCCCUUGCUGCCUCACCUUUUUGCUGCAGAAUGCAUGUAUGCAGAUUUCUCAAAACAAAGACUUCAGUUUGCUGUAUCUCAUAGUCAGGAAAUAACUCCAAACACCAACAUCUCCCAGAUACCAUUCCCACCCACAGGAAUCCUUCUCAAGAUGGACAUUCCAGGACACUGAUUUUUUUUUUUCCUUUCUUUUAUGCAGUCACCACUUCAACAAAAGGGGGACAGCAUUUUCCUCACAUGUACCAGAAGGGAGUGUGGGAGAAGGGGGACACUCUGGAAGACCCAGUAGUGUGAAGCUGGAUCUCCGCAAGACAAACCUUGGAAUAAAAAGUCCUCUUUCACAAUUUACAAGGAGAAUGAUGAAUCCAAGGGCAGCAGCAACUUCUUUGGUGUGAGCCCUGAGCCCAGGCCAGUGGUGUUGGGUGGGGAGGUGCCAGGCAGGAUGCUGAGAUCGCCAAAUUACCAGGCUGAGUUCAGCGGGUGAGCCUCUGUGGCUGGCACUCUGCGGGAGGUCAGGCUGCGCCAUAGGCAGGGUCCCUUCUGGCCCUAAAAUCUAUGAAUGUAUUGAUGCUCUGAGGCUGAAAAAGCAGCAGCUGCUCCUAUGCAGCACCUAGUUCUCAUAAGCAUUUGGAAUAAUGGAUCCAUAUUGUGCCAAUGCAUACUAAUGUUAAUAUACAUUUGCAGCGCACAAUGUGAUGGCUUUGGAGACACCCAGGUGUCAGAUUGAAUCAGUGUCAGUGACACACUGUACCAGGACUUUGCAGCAGGUCCCUGUUGGCUUCUCCAGCGGGAAGCUAUCGCUUCUUUGAAAUUAUUGUGUUUAUCCCUUAUGUUUCUGGAGGAAAAAAAAAAAACACAUAAAUUGUCCCCAGCCCGCUGCAGGUCUGUGGUCCGCAGCUUGUGGCCAGCCAAAGCCUGGUUUUCAAAGGGUUUGAGGGAAACAAAGCGAGAUGCUGUGUGAGGAGUGACCACAGAGCUGUGAGAUGAAGCUCCUGUGUUCUCUGCUGUUCUCCUCACCAGUGCAAGGAAACUGUGAGACAGGGCAAGUUCUGCUCUCAGCAGCAUCCAUACAGUCCCUGCUGCAGCCCAAACCAUCUGCAAGCCAAAAACCUGAUCUGCCUCUGCUGGAUCUCAUCCCCAAUGGCUUUCAGAUGCAGAAUCAGGUUCAGACUGCAGAGAGAACACAGCCUCUGAUUGAUGCCAUGAGUUUGGGGAGCUGGGGCACAGAGGAACAUGCUCACUCCUCAGCCUCGUGCCAUCUGUACCCAGGAGCUAGCUGUGUGCAUGAACAUGUGGGCAGAAGAACACUGGGUUUCAUGAGCAGAGCCAGGGCUGCAUGGAGUUCCAAGGGAAGGUUGUGCUCCCCUGGCCUCACCUGUAUUGUUUAUGCUGGAUGUAUAUGUGUGCAUUGCCAUCACAUUUGUAUAUACCCAUAGAGAUACUUCAUCUUUUCAUAACAAGCCUGCAUCAGCCUUGCCUGUAUUCCCUACCCAAAUCCACUCAAGCUUACACGAGCCCAUAUGGGAGGCUGCCCAAAACAUCAUUUGUUUACAGUAACAUAAUAAAGCAGAGCACCGCCCAACAAACUCUCUUGUUUGAACGCCUGUUAUUGCCUUUGCUAAUCCGCUGAACCAGACUGCACUGGAGAUGAGGGAACAUUGUCACUAACUAGGCACUGCAAAAGUUGAGGCCAUUCCAUACUGGGACUCACCUGCUGAGUGCCCAGGAUGCUCCUUGAGGUGCCUCUGCCUCACCAAGCACCUCUGAGGCCCAAUGCCACACGCUGCUCACACAGCUCAGCUGACCUCUGUGGGCAGCCCUGUCUACGCCAGCUGGAAGAAGUUGCUUCCCAUGGAAAUGCUGAACUUGCCCGUCCCAUGCUGUUUUUUGUCUUGCUCCAGAAAGAUAUAUAUAUAUAUGAGAAUCAUUUAAAGAAAAUGGAAAGCAACCAAUCAACUGCUUCCCCAGCCCACACGGACUGCUCUGCUCUCCUUCUCCCCUGGCCCAUGGCACAUUGGCACACUGGUACUGACAUGGGAUCACACUGAGGUGGACUGCUUUUAUGUCUCUGGAAUGGUUAUGGAGAGGAGACAGUUCCUCUUUCAUGGGGGCUGGGGGAGAGGGGAAGAGAGAAGUGAAAAGAAAUGUGUCCCUGUGCCCAGGUGACAGUGAUGGCCCAAACAUGUUGAUGAUCCAGCCUACUCCCUAUCCUGGGGGCAAUGCAAGGGAAGGAGUAUCUCUGCAGAAGAGAUAGGAUGAUUCUGAGCAUCAUUUUUCCAUGACACUCGUGUCUUUUCAUUCAUGACUUUUUUUCUUGGAUACCAUAUAUUGGGGGCAGGGGCUGUGCCUGCCCGCCCCACCAAUGACAGUUUGGUUUCCAGCUUUAAUCAUAGCCACUGAGCUGAGUAAGAACACCACAGUGAGAUGCUGCCAGCAGCUAUCCUGGAUCCAGUGUCUGGAGCUGGUGGUUUAUCCAGGAGGCAAAGCUUGGCUUGCACUGGAGUGAAGUUGUUAAUGCUUCCACAGCACCGGGGAGACAGGGAGGCUCCAAUGAAUGUCUCCUAAUUAUAUCAUCAUGUUUGCAAAAUUUCUGUGCUUUCUGGCAAACAUACCUUUCUGUGGGAGGAGGGAAUGUGAUGGGAAAAGGAGGGGAUAAUGGAAAGGGAGACAGAGAGAUCAGUACUGAAUGUGAAAUAAGAGAAUAAAAUGAGAAAUAGUGAAUGCAAAAAAGGACGUGCUAGAAAAGAAGAAAGAGAGAGGGGGAAGGAAAGAAGGGAAGAAAGAAAGGAACGAAGGAAAAAAGGAAGAAAGGAAGAAAGGGAGAAAGAAAAGAAGGGAGAGAGGAAGGAAGAAAGGAUGAGAGGAAGGGAGGAAGGGAGGAAGGGAGGAAGGAAGAAAGAAAGAAAGAAGGAAAGAAAGAAGGAAAGAAAGAAAGAGAGAAAGAAAGAGAGAAAGAGAGAAAGAAAGAGAGAAAGAAAGAAAGAAAAAGAGAAAGAAAGAAAGAGAGAAAGAGAGAAAGAGAAAGAAAGAGAGAAAGAGAGAAAGAGAGAAAGAGAGAAAGAGAGAAAGAAAGAAAGAAAGAAAGAAAGAAAGAAAGAAAGAAAGAAAGAAAGAAAGAAAGAAAGAAAGAAAGAAAGAAAGAAAGAAAGAAAGAAAGAAAGAAAGAAAGAAAGAAAGAAAGAAGGAAAGAAAGAAAGAAAGAAAGAAAGAAAAAAAUGAGAAGAAAGAAAAAAUGGAAAAAAAUAAAGGAAGAAAAAAAGAAAAAAGAAAUUGAGACAGGAAAAAAAAAAAAGAAGUAAAACAGAACGGGGAAGAGUGAGAAAGCUGAAGAACGAAAAAAAAAAGGAGAGGGGUCGGGGGGAAACAGCGGGCUAUGCGAUGCCUGGUGCCCGCGGCGUGAGGCGCGGACGAGGGCCGGGGCAGCUCGGGUCGCUCUUUUCAGCACCCUGGAUAGCUCUGGGGCCGCCAGCGGUGCCGCGCACAGAGCGAGGGCGCGGUGAGGGCUCG